rnacentral:rRNA from 1 species
GUCUGAAGCCAUGCCACCCUGAACAAUUCCAGUCUCAUCUGAUCUCGGAAGCUAAGCAGGGUCGGGCCUAGUUAGUACUUUGAUGGGAGGCCACCUAGGAAGACCAGGUGCUGUUGGCA